GAUAAGGGAACUCCCAGUGCUCAUGUAUUGCAUGGGCUUUUGCCAAGAGUAAACAUCUUGGCGAAUAAGGGGUGGGCAAGACGGGUGCCAGCCGCCGCGGUAACACCUGCACCCCGAGUAGCAAUCACGUUUAUUGGGCCUAAAGCGUUCGUAGCCGGAAUAGUCAGUCUUGGGUGAAAUCGCUGAGCUUAACGAAGCGACGUGCUUGAGAUACUGCCAUUCUAGGGACUGGGAGGCGUAAGAGGUAUUCCUGAGGGACCGGUAAAAUGGGUUGAUCUCAGGAGGACCACCUGUGGCGAAGGCGUCUUACGAGAACAGGUCCGACGGUGAGGAACGAAAGCUAGGGGAGCAAACCGGAUUAGAUACCCGAGUAGUCCUAGCUGUAAACGCUGCCAACUAGAUGUUGCAUAGUCUUCAAGGCUGUGCAGUGUCGGAGCGAAGGUGUUAAGUUGGCCGCCUGGGAAGUACGGUCGCAAGGCUGAA
rnacentral:rRNA from 1 species